rnacentral:pre_miRNA from 1 species
ACGCGAACCGCUGCUAACCUUGUCUAAUUCUAGUCAACAAGGCAAGCUGCUGUUAGUGGAA